GACGAACGCUAGCGGCGCGCCUAACACAUGCAAGUCGAACGAGCGAGAGAGAGCUUGCUUUCUCAAGCGAGUGGCGAACGGGUGAGUAACGCGUGAGGAACCUGCCUCAAAGAGGGGGACAACAGUUGGAAACGACUGCUAAUACCGCAUAAUGCAACGGAAUCGCAUGACUCUGUUGCCAAAGAUUUAUCGCUCUGAGAUGGCCUCGCGUCUGAUUAGCUGGUUGGCAGGGCAGCGGCCUACCAAGGCGACGAUCCAUAGCCGGCCUGAGAGGGUGAACGGCCACAUUGGGACUGAGACACGGCCCAG
rnacentral:rRNA from 1 species